GUUCCCUUCCAACCCAAACCAUCCUAUGAUUCUGUGAUCUAACCUUGAGCAAAGAUACAGCUAGGCAGUGAAUUAAAAACCAGCUAGGUAUGUGUCCAGAAAGUGCAAGUGCAAGUGGUCAUACAAAAGUCCAAAUGCUAGACCAUAAGGAAGGUUGUAACUAGUGGUUCAAAGAGAACCAGUAGGAAAUCUGGGGUCACUGUCUGGCUCUGACACAGACUUCCUUUAUGUCCUUGCCUCAUUCACUUAAUUUAGCUAUUCUCCAGCUAAGGCAAGGAGACAAUAGUACCUCCUUAAUGGUCUUAUGAAGGUCUCUUGAGACUGUGGAGAGAGAGAACUUGACUCCCUCUGUGUUUAUAUACUCCUGAGCAAAAGGGAUUCCAGAUUAUAAAUGCCUGGGUCUGCUGCUGCUCCCCAAAGUAAUUGUAUCAAAUAUAUGGACCAACAAUAAAACUUCGCAACGUUUUCCCAUUUGGGGUUAAAGGAUGUAUUUCAUUCAACAACCUGGAAUGUAAAGUGUGGCUAUAGUUUUGAGCUCUUGUUUCUUGUUUUGGUUUGUUUUGUUUGAGUUUUUUCUAUUUUUGGUCAAUGAAGUAAAAUUCAAAGUGCUUACCCCCUUCUUGUUUUAAAUCAAGAGGGUAUCCCUUUAAGAAACAAUUACUCAUUCAAAUUUUCUUCUGUGACAUUUUAGGGUCUUUCUUCCUCUAACGAAAUGGUCGCAGUUCAGUCACACACCUGGCAGAAGUUCUUUAGCCCUGUCAGCUGCAAUUUUCCAGAGAAACCUCUUUGCUGGAUAAUUCCUCAUGAGGCUGGAGGAGAGGGCAGGUUUGUGUAGCCGUCUGCAUUGGAGGGUAAUAUUGCCCUCCUCCUGUGAUUGCCUGUUGACUUUUGGAGUGUGGGACACUGAAUAACCCAAAAAAGAGAUAUCACCUGUGAGCAAGGAGCACUGCAGAUGCUGAUGUCCUCCCUCCCAAAUGCUGCUUUGUCAGCUGGUGCUGUCAUCGAGCCCUGGUCUCCUUCUCUGGAACUUGCCACCACUCUCAUCCAUGUGUCGCCUGGGGUGUGAAAGGCUCAGAAGACCUCAAAACAUUCCUGUUCUCUGGCCAGUGCCUCGGAGAUGAUGAUGUAGUCCCUAUGUGGGCCGCAGAAAGCACUUCGAGCCGUGCUGGAGUCGUGCUGGGUGGCUCUGAUAGCAGAGCUAAUGGGAGCGAAUGGGAUGCAACGAACUGUUCUAAUGACACCAGCCA